ensembl:lncRNA
GUGGUUUCUUCACUGCUCUUCUAGCACAGAUCAGAUGACGAGCUGCCUUUUUCCUGUACAUGAAAACGAGGGACGGGGAAUCAGGGGAAGCCACGCCCACCCUCUUAAGGAGAGCCUCUGUGCCUGUUGUUAUGGCAACCCCGGCGUCCUGUAACCUUCCCGGUGAGGGCAAUGGGCUUGGAACGCCGAAGCUGUCCAGGAAGAACAGCAUUCGGCGUGCCCUGGCACUUGACAGCCCUUCCAUGAAGGGAGGUGGUGUUCUUCAGGGAUCCCCCAGCCUCAUCCACCGUGUCCUGGCUAAAUCCAGGAGGAAGAGCUGCCCUCACCUCCCACCAGUCUCCGCAAAGCCGGGCUCCAUCAACUCAGCUUACCUGCCUGAAUAGGAUGCCUUCAGAGAAGCAUUUAGACUUAAGCAUUAAGACUCUGAAGCCUCAAGCCCAUUUGACGUUUCAUGAGGACUUGGAAUUUCCUAUUUGAAGCGAACGAAAAAAUAUAGGCACGCUGCAUUACAUUCGCUUUCCUUUAACAAAUAUCAGUGUUUCCCCUUUAAUUGUGUUUAUAACACAAUUAAAGUGAGAACCCCUGCCAGGCCAAAAAACAAUAUGUGUAAAAUGUAAUACAUGUCCUAAAUCUCAACGAGUACUAGUGCAUUCAAUUUGUAGGUCUGCGAAAGUAUCCAUCAAUGUACACAUAUGGAAAGUCAGUUUUAUCUAGGGAUGCACCAGUACCCGAUGCUGUGCUCAUGUACUCGUAAAACCUCUCCGAUACAACCACCCGAUGCCACUUUACGCAACGUGAAGUAACGCGAAGUAAGUCCUCAAUUUAGUGAAACAAGGUGCACUGGAGGACUCGGUUUGUGUGGACGUGUGGAGCUCUGUAUGAGAGAAAGUUUUGCUUUUUCUGAAACUCAUUGUGUACCGCGACAGUAUGUUGAUAGUCGAGCUCCGUCUGAGCAGUGAUUUAUUUAAUACCAGCGCCCUAGGGUUAGGAUUCCCGUACAACUAUAAUGUUAUCGCUAGAGUGUGUAGCGCAUUUCAUAUACAACAUCGUUGGAUAUGGAAAAACGUUAUAACGCUUAAACACGACGAUGAUACAAAAAGAAUAAUCAUAAAGUUGCCGUUGGGCGUAACCAUGGUGAUAACACGCCAUGCGUGCAACUGUAAUGGUAUUAUUAAGUACUCACGCAGGUACUUGGUAUUGGCGAGUACCCAAAUGUAAGUGGAAUCAGUGCAUCCCUAGUUGUAUCUGUAUUAUAUACAGUCUGUCAAGUCCGUUGAACCUGUGUUAUAUACAGUCUAUGUGCAAUACACCCACACUAGAGCUCUACGAGCCAUGCAGUUCUUUACCUGCUUUUAA